rnacentral:rRNA from 1 species
GACGAACCGUGCGAACGUUGUUCGGAUUCACUGGGCUUAAAGGGCGCGUAGGCGGUCGACCAAGUCUGGGGUGAAAUCUUUCGGCUCAACCGGAAAAGUGCCCCCGAUACUGGCCGGCUAGAGGGAGAUAGGGGCAUGCGGAACUUCCGGUGGAGCGGUGAAAUGCGUAGAUAUCGGAAGGAACGCCGGUGGCGAAAGCGGCGUGCUGGAUCUCUUCUGACGCUGAGGCGCGAAAGCCAGGGGGAGCAAACGGGG